rnacentral:lncRNA from 1 species
UGGGUUUUGAACCUGGGAACCUUGGAUUGGAGUUGGGGAUCCCCAAACUUCCUGAAAUUGUGGGAAUGUGCGGUUUGGGGGAAUGAUGGGAAUUUGUGGGAAUGUGCGUUUUAGGGGAAUGAUGAUCCAUCGCUAGCAAGUUUUCCAAGGGGGCUGUGACCCAGAAGAGUUAAGAAUCACAAUUUCUUCAUGCUACAGAGAGGAAACUGAGGCCUAGAUGUCAUUUGGGACCCUUCACAACCAUUUUGAAGCCCUGUUUGAGUCCCUGGGAUAUGUGAGCUGUUUCUAUGCAUAAUGGAUAUUCGGGGUUAACAACAGUCCCCUGCUUGGCUUCUAUUCUGAAUCCUUUUCUUUCACCAUGGGGUGCCUGAAGGGUGGCUGAUGCAUAUGGUACAAUGGCACCCAGUGUAAAGCAGCUACAAUUAGGAGUGGAUGUGUUCUGUAGCAUCCUAUUUAAAUAAGCCUAUUUUAUCCUUUGGCCCGUCAACUCUGUUAUCUGCUGCUUGUACUGGUGCCUGUACUUUUCUGACUCUCAUUGACCAUAUUCCACGACCAUGGUUGUCAUCCAUUACUUGAUCCUACUUUACAUGUCUAGGCUGUGUGGUUGGUGGUGAAUAGGCUUCUUUUUACAUGGUGCUGCCAGCCCAGCUAAUUAAUGGUGCACGUGGACUUUUAGCAAGCGGGCUCACUGGAAGAGACUGAACCUGGCAUGGAAUUCCUGAAGAUGUUUGGGGUUUUUUUCUUUCUUAAUCGAAAGUUAACAUUGUCUGAAAAGUUUUGUUAGAACUACUGCGGAACCUCAAAAUCAGUAGAUUUGGAAGUGAUUCAAAGCUAAACUUUUUCCUUGGCCCUCCUUGUGUUCUAAUUGCUUGCAAGUGUAAUACUAGGAUGUCCAAGAUGCCAGUUUUUGCUUCUUUGUUAGUUGUCAGCUGCUUUUAUCAAAUUUCAGGCCAUUAUCCAACAAACACUAUAAAAAUGUUUGAACAAUUGGAUUUCAAACAUUUUCGUUUUGUGGAGUGGUGCUCACCAAGUGGUACAGCCCUAAGCAAGUGAACACAAACACAUUUAAGUGUAUUUUGUCUGAUUAGAUGUUAGCCAGUUAUGCUAUUUCAUUCAAAUGUCUGAAAAAAUCAAUUGACUAUUCCCUUUUCCUAAAGGGCAGAGACAGAUAAUCUCACUUCCAGAGAAAUGACUUGGAGAAAAAAAAGUGUUGGUCUUUUUGCUCUUUUGUAAUUAAAUCCGGAUGUACCUCAAAAGACUUAAGACUGUGGUGAUAAGAUGCUUUCCUCAGCAGAAAGGAGGGAAAAAAAACAACUGGAACUCAAAGCUUGAAAUUCUGUGGCAAAACAUGAGAUGUCCAGGAUUGGAGGUUGAAAAGAUUUCACUACAGUGUUCUGCAAUAGUUGGAGCAGAUAACUUUCAGUGUAGCCACAGCCAUGGACUCCAGAUUUCCAGAUUUUCAAGACCUGGACCUGGAACCCGAAAGAGCUUGUCACGAUGCGGCAGGAACACUGGAGGUAGAUUUUUUUUUAUUUUUGAAUUUUGGGACUGUUGACCUUGCUGUGAGAAAAGAGACAACGACUGAGCAAGCACUACCACCAGCACUGUUACUGGGAAUUAGAAGACCUGAGUUUCUGUCCAGACCCUCAGUGCAAACUGAGGAUGCUCCAUCCAAAGUGAAUUAUGUCCUGUGCCUCCUGAUUGCUGAGUGUUCACCUGGACCUUCUGACUACCUUCCCUGUGCUAUUCCAUCAGCCUACAGACCUGGUACCUGGAUUUUUGCCCGAGAUGAUUCCUACCACCUUACUACUGACGAAGACACCCAUUCCAGUGGACCACUGUGACCCAGGAGGCAUUCAGCCAUCAUGAUGUGGCCUUUACCUCCACUCCUGUCUUGUUCUACCCAGAUUCAGCACAGCCCUUUAUAGUGAAGUCAGAGUCCUCAAGCCAAAUAGCUAAAGCUGUUUUAUCACAACAAAGGCCUAGUUUGUUCCAUGAGUGUGCAUUUCAUUUCUUCAGUUAAAGCCUUCAGAGACACACAAUAAAUUUGGACCAGGGGAUUUUUUAGUUAUUAAUGCUCUCUGAAGAAAGGCAACAUCUUUUUGAGAGCAGCAUUGGACCACACCCCACAAUCUCAAAUGAUUGAAAUUCAUGAACAUCUAGGAUCCCGUGAAGGUCACUGGACCCUGUUUUUUCUACUUCAAAUCCUGUAGUAGCCUACUGAAUGAGAAAACAUAUUCUGACCCAUUGGGAUCAAAUCAAAGGCACAGUGAACUCCUCAUAGCAUCUUCUUUGGAAUUACUCAGGAACCAGAACUUUUUACACAAAUGUAAGAAAUUCUACCAAGGAGUCCCCUUACCUAACAGCAUCUCACAAGGCUGCACCAGAUUCCAGAAAAGGCUUCUCUUGAUACAUCAAGCAUUUUGUGACCGACUUAUUCUUAGAUCAUUGGUUUUCCAAAGGCUUUGUGGCCAUGAAGCCCUUUGAGUGAAAACUGUGCAGAAGCCCAGAGUAAAAGUGAAGCUGCUCUGGAUGAAGUAGUGAAGCAAGAGUAGGGGCCUGAAUCCUGCUACAACUAUCUUCCUUUACCACCGUGGUGACACCUAAGGGGACUUCCUUACAACACCUUGAACUCUUCCGAACACAGUUUGAAAACCACUGCCCCAGACAGCAAUAUGUUUGACCUGAAUGGCAUUCCAAUCUUUUCUGUACCUCCACUCAGCACAGUUCAUGUUCAGUAGAUGCUGAACAUUCUUAGAAAUACUGUGUGUGAACUUAGAAAAGUGCAAGAAGACAGGCAUGUCUUUGACCCCAGGAAUGAUCAUUUGCUGAAGAUGGUGUCAAGUGAACCUAGAUUAACAGCCCUCCACUCCAGAUGGAUAUCCAGUGAUUCCUAGAAUGGGAUAUAGCCAGAGAACAAUUCUAUGCACCCUACACUGACAGACUCCCUUAAGCAACACCAGAUGCUCUACUGGUACUUGAAGUACAUGACUUUGAAGUCUUGACCCUCCAUGAAUACCUGAAUUAUCAGCAAGCGGGUUUUGAAGCUGGUGCCUCAUUGAGGCCAUAUUAGAGCAACUUGUACAUUUGACCUCUUGUUAUCAGCCAUGGUACUCUACUUCGUGUGCAAGAGAUAACUAUGAAAGCCAAAUUCAAAUACUGGCAACAUUUCCUAAAGGGGCUCAAUAUCUAUCAUUCGUCUUCUUUUCCAAACUACACAUCACUGUAUGACUCAACCAGUAGCAGUUAUAUUGCCCCUUGGUUUUUAUUCAGUUUAACUACUGUUUCCAAGAUAAAUGAGCUAAUAA